GGAUGAUUUGUUUUUUUUUUGGUACUUCUACGAAAAAACUAUCAAUAUAUUUAAGGUGAGUUUUCUCUGAAUGAACUGAUGUGUUGUUGUGUAUCAUUAAACAAACAGUUGGACAAUCGGGUUCUAUAAUUCCUCUCUCUUGUGCUGCUGCUGGUGGAUUUCUGGUGGUUGUAACUGCACUCCUGAUCAUCUGCAAGAAACAAAGAAACAAACAACAACGGGAUCAGACCCGUGAAGACGAGAUCACAUACGCUGAUCCAACAUUCUACCAACACAACACCAAAACAAAGAGAGUUAAAGAGGAGAAUGAGGUGGUGUAUGCAGGCGUCCUCACAAGACGUUGAUCAGUCUGUUCUGAUGCGACUCUGUUUGCUCAAUAUUGUUGUUGUCAAAUUUUAUUUUAUUUUUGGACACAGAUUUUCUUUGAUUAAUUUAUUUUUUUUAGAAUGUUGUGUCCUUACAUUUUAACUUACAGUGCAUGCAAACAAUAGAUUUGAUCAGAACGCUGAUGUUGUGUCAACUGGGAUUCGAACCCAAAACACAGUGCUGUACAAGAACAGCUGACAGUCU